rnacentral:rRNA from 1 species
CAACCUACCUAUCAGAGGGGAAUAACCCGGCGAAAGUCGGACUAAUACCGCAUAAAACAGGGGCACCGCAUGGUGAUAUUUGUUAAAGAAAUUCGCUGAUAGAUGGGCAUGCGUUCCAUUAGGUAGUUGGUGAGGUAACGGCUCACCAAGCCGACGAUGGAUAGGGGAACUGAGAGGUUGGUCCCCCACACUGGUACUGAGACACGGACCAGACUCCUACGGGAGGCAGCAGUGAGGAAUAUUGGUCAAUGGGCGGGAGCCUGAACCAGCCAAGUCGCGUGAAGGAAGAGGGAUCUAUGGUUCGUAAACUUCUUUUGCAGGGGAAUAAAGUGCAGGACGUGUCCUGUUUUGUAUGUACCCUGAGAAUAAGGAUCGGCUAACUCCGUGCCAGCAGCCGCGGUAAUACGGAGGAUCCGAGCGUUAUCCGGAUUUAUUGGGUUUAAAGGGUGCGUAGGUGGUUUGAUAAGUCAGCGGUGAAAGUUUGCAGCUUAACUGUAUAAAUGCCGUUGAAACUGUCGGACUUGAGUGUAAAUGAGGUAGGCGGAAUGCGUGGUGUAGCGGUGAAAUGCAUAGAUAUCACGAAGAACUCCGAUUG